CGGACGGGUGAGUAAUGUCUGGGAAACUGCCUGAUGGAGGGGGAUAACUACUGGAAACGGUAGCUAAUACCGCAUAACGUCGCAAGACCAAAGGGGGACCUUCGGGCCUCUUGCCAUCGGAUGUGCCCAGAUGGGAUUAGCUAGUAGGUGGGGUAACGGCUCACCUAGGCGACGAUCCCUAGCUGGUCUGAGAGGAUGACCAGCCACACUGGAACUGAGACACGGUCCAG
rnacentral:rRNA from 1 species